UACAGAGGUGGCAAGCGUUGUUCGGAAUUACUGGGCGUAAAGGGCGCGUAGGCGGCCUACUAAGUCGAACGUGAAAUCCCCGGGCUCAACCCGGGAACUGCGUCCGAUACUGGUGGGCUUGAAUUCGGGAGAGGGAUGUGGAAUUCCAGGUGUAGCGGUGAAAUGCGUAGAUAUCUGGAGGAACACCGGUGGCGAAGGCGGCAUCCUGGACCGAUAUUGACGCUGAUGCGCGAAAGCGUGGGGAGCAAACAGG
rnacentral:rRNA from 1 species